rnacentral:rRNA from 1 species
GAUGAACGCUGGCGGCGUGCUUAACACAUGCAAGUCGAACGAAGCACUUUAUUUGAUUUCCUUCGGGACUGAUUAUUUUGUGACUGAGUGGCGGACGGGUGAGUAACGCGUGGGUAACCUGCCUUGUACAGGGGGAUAACAGUUGGAAACGGCUGCUAAUACCGCAUAAGCGCACGGCAUCGCAUGAUGCAGUGUGAAAAACUCCGGUGGUAUAAGAUGGACCCGCGUUGGAUUAGCUAGUUGGUGAGGUGACGGCCCACCAAGGCGACGAUCCAUAGCCGACCUGAGAGGGUGACCGGCCACAUUGGGACUGAGACACGGCCCAAACUCCUACGGGAGGCAGCAGUGGGGAAUAUUGCACAAUGGGCGAAAGCCUGAUGCAGCGACGCCGCGUGAGCGAAGAAGUAUUUCGGUAUGUAAAGCUCUAUCAGCAGGGAAGAUAAUGACGGUACCUGACUAAGAAGCACCGGCUAAAUACGUG